UACGGAGGGUGCAAGCGUUAUCCGGAUUCACUGGGUUUAAAGGGUGCGUAGGAGGGCAGGUAAGUCAGUGGUGAAAUCCCCCGAGCUUAACUUGGGAACUGCCGUUGAUACUAUCUGUCUUGAAUACCGUGGAGGUGAGCGGAAUAUGUCAUGUAGCGGUGAAAAUGCUUAGAUAUGACAUAGAACACCAAUUGCGAAGGCAGCUCGCUACACGAAUAUUGACUCUGAGGCACGAAAGCGUGGGGAUCAAACAGG
rnacentral:rRNA from 1 species